AACGCACAUUGCGCCCGCUAGCUCUCUAGCGGGCAUGCCUGUCCGAGCGUCAUUUCCACCGAGAAGAGCCCCCGGGCUCGCGUUGGGGCGCCGCGGCCCGCUGGGUCGCGCGCCCCGAAAUACAGCGGCGGCACCGCACCGGCCCUGAGCGCAGUAGAACACGCUCGCCCCAGGGCCUCGGCGCGGGCGGCCUGCCCCUAAAGACGUCGCGGGAGCGCUGUAGCGCGCCCUGGAGCGGCGGAACCCCCCCAAGGUUGACCUCGGAUCAGGUAGGAAUACCCGCUGAACUUAA
rnacentral:misc_RNA from 1 species